rnacentral:rRNA from 1 species
UAAGCCUGAAAUUGAACAAGUAUACCCGUUGAACUUAAGCAUAUUAUUAGGCGGAGGAAAAGAAACUAAC